rnacentral:lncRNA from 1 species
UGGCAAAGGAUGACUGAGUCGCUGGCGACACUUAGGGCUGAGCCUUAAUUCCUUAGUCCUGAUAUCAUUUCUUUGCCCUUCCCAGAAGGAGGCAUCUGAUUAAAGGGAAGAAAACUUUUUCACUAAUAACACAUUGGCCUCAUCUAACUCCCUGCGUCUUUAAUUAAUGUUUACAAACACUUUAAUCUACACCACUUACUACUUAAUUAGGCAAGUAUUAUUACCCCCUCUUUCUGAACCAAAUCCAGAAGAGACUUAAAUCCUUAAUCCUCCUUAAAUAAUGCACCUAAGCUUUCUGUCCAUGUUCUUUUUAUGUCCUCUUUUGUACCAUUUGUUAAACAUUAAUGUAUUUAUCAUGAAUUGGCUUAGUAAAAAAAAAAAAUUAAAUAGCCACGGGUGGGAGGUAAUAUAGGCAACCUCUAUCUUUCAUAAAUUCAGAUUUUAAAAAGACAUUA